rnacentral:lncRNA from 1 species
UUACUUUUUAUAUCGUCAUAAAUUUGAAUGAUUUGGGAAGCCUCUCCUCUAUCUAAAUUAAUUGGUUGACAUCGUGGAAUUUCAAGAGUCUCUGGAAUAAUGUUCUGCUCAAUUCCAAAAUCUUUCAUAAAAUUUGAUAAAUUAGAACUUUCCAAUUCCAGUUCCAUAGCACUAACGUGAUUAACAUCGUGUCUAUUCAUCCAAUAUAUAAUCAUAUGAUCAAAAUCGUGAA